AUUUAAAUAGCUUAUAUUUAGAGCAUGACACUGAAGAUGUUAGUGAGAUUAAUAAAUCUUUGAAUA
rnacentral:tRNA from 1 species